CUCCUUGCCUCACUUUUCCUCAAAGGCAGUAUUCUAAAAUACAUUCGUACAUAUAUACGAUGUUGUGAGAAGCCGUACAGUUGUAUAACACAACUAAAGUAGCAAUCUAUUUGUUAAAUUUUAUGGUGAGUGUGGAUUCAUUCAAAACUUCCAUCCCCAUCACUACCUUCAUCCAUCCGACCAUUCAAGCUUCGAACCUUAGAUUCUGUGGAUCAAACCAUUGGUGGAUAUCCCGUGGCUGCCUCAAUUCUAUUCUACUU